UGCGAGUCGAGAGGGUUCGGCCCUCGGCUGACGGCUCAGUAACACGUGGAUAAUCUGCCCUUAGGUGGAGGAUAAUCUCGGGAAACUGAGAAUAAUACUCCAUAGAUCUAGGAUGCUGGAAUGCACUUAGAUUGAAAGCUCCGGCGCCUAAGGAUGAGUCUGCGGACUAUCAGGUUGUAGUCAGGGUAAUGACCUGACUAGCCUACGACGGAUACGGGUUGUGAGAGCAAUAACCCGGAGACGAUAUCUGAGACACGAUAUCGGGCCCUACGGGGCGCAGCAGGCGCGAAAACUUCACACUGUGCGAAAGCACGAUGAGGGAAUCCCAAGUGCCAACUCGUAAGAGUUGGCUGUUUCUCUGUCUAAAAAAUAGAGAGAGUAAGAGCUGGGUAAGACGGGUGCCAGCCGCCGCGGUAAUACCUGCAGCUCAAGUGGUGGCCACUAUUAUUGGGCCUAAAACGUCCGUAGCCGGUUUAAUAAAUGCCGGGGUAAAUCGUGUAGCUUAACUAUACGAAUUCCGGGUAGACUGUUAGACUUGAGACCGGGAGAAGCUAGAGGUACUCCUGGGGUAGAGGUGAAAUUCUGUAAUCCUAGGGGGACCACCAGUGGCGAAGGCGUCUAGCUAGAACGGGUCUGACGGUGAGGGACGAAGCCCUGGGGCGCGAACCGGAUUAGAUACCCGGGUAGUCCAGGGUGUAAACGCUGCUUGCUUGAUGUUAGUUGGGCUCCGAG
rnacentral:rRNA from 1 species